GGUUUCUCUGUAUUGUUUUGGAGGCUGUCCUGGAACUCACUCUGUAGACCAGGCUGGCCUCGAACUCAGAGAUUCGCCUGCCUCUGCCUCCCGAGUGCUGGGAUUAAAGGCAUGCACCACCACUGCCUG
ensembl:miRNA